rnacentral:rRNA from 1 species
GCCUGGUGGGUAGUUUGACUGGGGCGGUCUCCUCCCAAAGAGUAACGGAGGAGCACGAAGGUGGGCUAAUCACGGUUGGACAUCGUGAGGUUAGUGCAAUGGCAUAAGCCCGCUUGACUGCGAGAAUGACAAUUCGAGCAGGUGCGAAAGCAGGUCAUAGUGAUCCGGUGGUUCUGAAUGGAAGGGCCAUCGCUCAACGGAUAAAAGGUACUCCGGGGAUAACAGGCUGAUACCGCCCAAGAGUUCAUAUCGACGGCGGUGUUUGGCACCUCGAUGUCGGCUCAUCACAUCCUGGGGCUGAAGUCGGUCCCAAGGGUAUGGCUGUUCGCCAUUUAAAGUGGUACGCGAGCUGGGUUUAGAACGUCGUGAGACAGUUCGGUCCCUAUCUGCCGUGGGCGUUGGAAGAUUGAAGGGGGCUGCUCCUAGUACGAGAGGACCGGAGUGGACGAACCUCUGGUGUUCGGGUUGUGUCGCCAGACGCAUUGCCCGGUAGCUAAGUUCGGAAUCGAUAACCGCUGAAAGCAUCUAAGCGGGAAGCGAGCCCUGAGAUGAGUCUUCCCUGAUACUUUAAGUAUCCUAAAGGGUUGUCGGAGACUACGACGUUGAUAGGUCAGGUGUGUAAGUGCUGUGAGGCAUUGAGCUAACUGAUACUAAUUGCCCGUGAGGCUUAACCAUACAACACCCAAGGGGUUU